ensembl:miRNA
CUUCAAAGUGGCAGACUGGAAAAUCUCUGCAGGCAAAUGUGAUGUCACUGAAGAAAUCACACAGUUACCCGCAGAGAUUCUACAGUCUGACACCUUCAAG